ACUAGUAGCGAGGGAGUGAGCGAACAAAUAUGUGGACGACAGAAACUUAAAUUUCUGUUCCAUAAAGGUUUCAAUGCCUGUCCUAAAACACAAAGUGCUUUAAAGUAGUACCAGUUGUAGAACCUUUAGGAGUUCAACAGCAGCAAUCUUUACAGAAUUUAAACUUCCUAAAACCCUUUUCCUCAACUUUUGAGAAUCUCACGUGACACACAGGAAAGACUAAAACCGUCACUGCUCUGGUUAUUAUGAUUAGCCUUGUCUUAUUGAUUGGAAAAAUCCUCUCCUGAUUAAAAAGCGAUUAUGCACAUGAUCUACUAAGACCCCCCUCCACUGUCCUCCUCCUUCUCUACCCAGAAGCCAACAUGCCACAUCCGUGAGUCUAAAUCUCUGAUCUGAUGCCUCGGUUCAGCUUCGACGCUGGAGCACGACCACCUCAGGGAGGUCUACAUGGAUAAGCGUUUAAAAACACUAAUCUGCGAAUCACUAUCCCUCCCAGAUAACCGUCUACUUGGGCAGUGAUCAGCAUGGAGAUUAUGGAUGUGAUCACUGCUGCUGAUUCUGUGUCUGUGUUUGAAAUAGACUUGAAGAGCUUAGCUCCAAAUCUGAAAUCAUCCAGCUGAGAUUUCAGCCUCAUAGAAACAAACAAAGUUUGGUAAAAGUGAGACUUUAGUUUGUUUUUCUUUCCAACUGAAUAUCCAGACACAGUGAAAAUCACUAUAAUAAAAAGUAGAGAGAGGGAAUAACUCAGAAGUGAUUUGUUUUUACUUCCAUUUGUGGGAGAUUUAAAGAAUGCAACCACCCAAAAAAACCCACCGAUAAUGCCUUAAUCAACCAAGUGAGGGUUAAAGUGUUUGGGCUCUGCAUGUGUUUGGGUUGUCCGGGUGCAUGGAGGGUCAUAGAGCAUGGGGUGUGCUAACAGUCAGGCUGCAGCAAGGAGUGCACACUUAUCAUGUGAACAACACUAACGGGCUUCUAGCAAAGUCUGCAGGAUUUGGCGGUAUGAACAUUUUUAAAAAAUCCACACGACAGGCCUGCGUCUAACCUACUUGACCCUUACGUGUCGCCCACAGCGUACCCGUAGGAAAAAGGGACACGAACAUUUUCACUCUACGUGUUCGCUGAGCGGCCGACGACUUUGAUAUUUCCCACUGACCACCUGCAAGUCCAGUACAGGUUUGACCAUUUUUCACCUGAAGACAGCCUGUAUCCACCUGUAAGGGCAGUUAUGAUUGAGGCCUAAGGAGGAAUUUUAGGUGUCAACGUGAAAUUAAUUCUAGAAGAUCAUACAAACACGCUGGUGAAUCUGGAAGAGAUAAAAAAAAAAAAAAAACAAUCCUGACAUCACUGCUUUAACCUACAAAAGCUUACUUUUGCUGUUUUUGCCAACAGACUGGCGUCCACAUUAGCCCUGAAGAACCCACUGGGACAAAUUUAGCUGCUGUUUUAAUUUAUUUAAUUUUAUAAAUAAAACCUAAAGCUUAAUGAGCAGGAAGUAAAAACCUGAAAACUCUGAAGAUGGUUUUAAACUCUUAAUUCAGAUUUAUGGGAUUCCAAGUAAAAUCAGAUCAAAAGGGAAAAAUAUCAACUAGAGGGGCGUGGCUAUUGAUUGACAGCUGCCCUCCUGAGCUGUAACUGAAGGUGAAGCAGGGACGUCCGAUCUCCUAAAGAUGGCCUGACGUUCUAAUGACGACAGAGAAGCUCUAACUUUGGUUUGGAAGCCUGAGACUGCAGGGACCUCCGGAUCCUCAGGACCCUCGGGGAUAGUGGAGUGAAGAUGGCUUUUGGCAGAAACGUGUGGCCGAACAACAGAAACAUGGCAGUGGACACAGGGGUCAGGGGGUUGAGGGUCGGCUUUCACACCGACAGAGGGCAAACUUCCAAAACUCUGAAGAUGACCCAAGCCCCCCACGUCACCGUUGCCUUGGAUAGCACAAGGACAGUCACCUACCAACCUAUGAAGCAGGAUAUUUUUUAGCAGGAAGUCAUGCAUGCACAGGGAGAAUAUGCAAACUCCAAACAGAAAAGACCUAGCUGCGUUUCAUGGCAUCACUGUGUGCAACCGCUACACCACCGUGCACACCCUAUGAAUAGAUGAUCUUUUCAACUUUAAGUGAAAACCUAAAUCUUUGCUAGUCAGUAUAUAGUGAUUGUGACGGUGUAGAACCGUCAGCUGCCGCUGCAGGCGCACACGCAUGCACACACGCUCGCACACAUACACACGUGCGCAUAGACGCGCACGCUCGGACCCGGUAACACGUCAUUUACAUCAGCUUACCCUUUUCAUUCCGUCCCUAUCCCUCUGCAGGUAGCCCUGGGUGCACACUAGGUUGCCGACUCACCA